rnacentral:rRNA from 1 species
UACGGAGGGUGCGAGCGUUGUCCGGAAUCAUUGGGCGUAAAGGGCGCGUAGGUGGCUUCUUAAGCGUGCGGUGAAAGCCUGGGGCUCAACCCCGGGUCGGCCGUGCGAACUGGGGGGCUGGAGCACUGUAGAGGCAGGCGGAAUUCCGGGUGUAGCGGUGGAAUGCGUAGAGAUCCGGAAGAACACCGGUGGCGAAGGCGGCCUGCUGGGCAGUUGCUGACACUGAGGCGCGAAAGCGUGGGGAGCAAACAGG